rnacentral:rRNA from 1 species
AGCAGCCGCGGUAAUUCCAGCUCCAAUAGCGUAUAUUAAAGUUGUUGCAGUUAAAAAGCUCGUAGUUGAAUUUCGGGAUUAAUAUGUUGGUCGUGCCUUGGUACGUACUGGCAUUAUUGAUUCCUACCUUCUGAAGAACCUCGAUGUCAUUAAUUUGGUGUCUUGGGGAAUCAGGACCGUUACUUUGAAAAAAUUAGAGUGUUUAAAGCAGGCUCACGCUUGAAUACAUUAGCAUGGAAUAAUGAAAUAGGACGUUUGAUUCUAUUUUGUUGGUUUCUAGGAUCGACGUAAUGAUUAAUAGGGAUAGUUGGGGGCAUUAGUAUUCAAUUGUCAGAGGUGAAAUUCUUGGAUUUAUUGAAGACUAACUACUGCGAAAGCAUUUGCCAAGGAUGUUUUCAUUAAUCAAGAACGAAAGUUAGGGGAUCGAAGACGAUCAGAUACCGUCGUAGUCUUAACCAUAAACUAUGCCGACUAGGGAUCGGAUGAUGUUAAUUUUUUAAUGACUCAUUCGGCGCCUUACG